GGGUCAGUAGUUCAAUUGGCAGAAUGACGGAUUCCAAAUCCGUUGGUUAUAGGUUCGAGUCCUAUCUGGCCCGCCA
rnacentral:tRNA from 1 species